UACGGAGGGUGCUAGCGUUGUUCGGAAUCACUGGGCGUAAAGGGCGCGUAGGCGGCCUGCUAAGUCGAACGUGAAAUCCCCGGGCUUAACCCGGGAACUGCGUCCGAUACUGGUGGGCUUGAAUCCGGGAGAGGGAUGUGGAAUUCCAGGUGUAGCGGUGAAAUGCGUAGAUAUCUGGAGGAACACCGGUGGCGAAGGCGGCAUCCUGGACCGGUAUUGACGCUGAGGCGCGAAAGCUAGGGGAGCAAACGGG
rnacentral:rRNA from 1 species